AACGAACGCUGGCGGCAGGCCAAACACAUGCAAGUCGAGCGGACCCUUCGGGGUUGGGGGCGGAGGGGGGGGUAAGGCGGGGGAAUAUGCCCUUCUCUACGGAAUAGUCCGGGGAAACGGGGGGUAAUACCGAUAAGGCCCUUUGGGGGAAGGAUUUAUCGGGGAAGGAUUAGCCCGCGUUGGAUUAGGUAGUUGGUGGGGUAAUGGCCUACCAAGCCGACGAUCCAUAGCUGGUUUGAGAGGAUGAUCAGCCACACUGGGACUGAGACACGGCCCAGACUCCUACGGGAGGCAGCAGUGGGGAAUCUUAGACAAUGGGGGCAACCCUGAUCUAGCCAUGCCGCGUGAGUGAUGAAGGCCUUAGGGUUGUAAAGCUCUUUCAGCUGGGAAGAUAAUGACGGUACCAGCAGAAGAAGCCCCGGCUAACUCCGUG
rnacentral:rRNA from 1 species